GUAUAGAUGGCACACACAGUUUGUUAAACGGUUCGUUUAGGUUUCAGCCUGGACCUGGUUCCUGAGGAUCCGCCUUCAGACCCCUCCCUGUCUCAGACAGACUGAGAACACAGAUCUGUUCUCACUCACUCAGCUUCCGGUAUUUCUGCCUCGCGCAGGCUGCGCAGUUUCAUCCAGCUAUGUAAUCUAUCAACUUUAAGGUUUAUAGAUUAUAGAUUUAUAGAUUAUCGAUAAGGCUCUUCAGUGAACACCGCUCGGUAGAUACCGGUCUUUGGACAUUACUUUGACAUCUGGAUCAUCGGGACCAGUUGGACUGAUCAUGUCUGUUUCAACAUCUGCGUCACUGUGGACUCUGCUGUCUCUCUGGGUCCUGGUCUCUGCCUCUGAAGUUCAGAACAUCAGAGCUGUUCCUGGACAGACCGUCACUCUGCCAUGUCGAGCUCCCAGAGACACCGACAUCAUAGUUGUAGAGUGGACCAGACCUGAUCUGGAGACAGAAGAAUAUGUCUUUUUGUACCGGGAUGAGCGGCCUGAUCCACACAAACAGCAUCCCUCUUUUCAGAACAGGGUGGAGCUGGUGGACAGACAGAUGGAGGACGGUGACGUGUCUUUGAUUCUGAAGAAUGUGAAGAGAGAGGACACAGGAAUAUACGAGUGUCGAGUCGUCCAGAGAGAAACAAACCGCAGGAAGAGAGCUACUCUGGACUCUGAGCCCAUCAUCAGCAUCAUCUACCUGGAUGUUAGACCAGAUCAGGAGAACAUCACAGCUGAUCCAGGACAGACUGUCACUCUGCCAUGUCGAGCUCCAAACACCAACAUCAAAGCUGUGGAGUGGACCAGACCUGAUCUGAAGACAGUCUUUUUGCAGCCUAAACCAGCAACCAACCAGUCUUCAGACAGUCAGAUGAAGGACGGUGACGUGUCCUUGACUCUGAAGAAUGUGACAAGAGAGGACAGAGGAAGAUACGAGUGUCGAGUCGUCCAGAGAGAAACAAACCGCAGGAAGAGAUCUACUCUGAAGACUGAGCCCAUCAGCAUCAUCUACCUGGAUGUUCCUUUACCAGAAGUGAAUCUAAAAGGCGUUCACUGUACUGAGACUGAUCCUGUUGAUACAUGAUCUGAAUCCUGCUGAACCAGUUCCAGAGAAACCACAACACACCUGAGCAACGUGACAAACAACAGUCGUAUCAGAGGUCUGAACAAACCUCGUGGGCGUUCAGGUCGGAGGACUUGACGAGUCUGACAGGUGGGUUUGUGGCGUCUGUGACCUUUUUUCUCCUGGUUAGUGUUGUCCCCUGAUGGAAACUUCACACCCUCACUGAAUUAUUUAGAACAUAAACUUGUUAUUGUGUCACUUGUUCCAGGAACCUGCGGACUGCUUUAUUUUCAUGGUGUCUUUUAUUUCAGUCUUGUUUAAUGUUAAAACAUGCCAGUGUUUUGGAUGAUUACCUUUUGUCUUAUGUCUUAUGACCAGUGUUUUUGAAAAUAUCACAGCUCAGGGAAGUUUUAGAACUAAUCACGUGAACGUUCAUGUGUCUAAAACCCAGACGUUUCCUGGUGUCCUGAGGGUAAUCCCAGAAUCUCCAAGGCCUGUUGUGUCUGUCACUGUUAUUACAUCAACCAGGACUUAAGUCUCAGGGGAAUAUAACUAUAAACUAUUUAAACACAGAGUGCAUCAUCAACUGGACCUGAUAAGGUUAUCUGAAGGCAGCACAUUGUUUGUCUUCCUGUAAGUCGACUCAUUACUGAGAACAGAAAGCAGAAGUAUGUGGUUCCUGCUGCAGAGAAAACAUGUGAACUAAACAAAGACAAACUAAGCAGAGUAAGAACCCUGAACAGACUGAUCACUCACUGUGACUCAGUUUAUAACUUCAUGAGUUAAAGCUGGAGACUCUGCAGGUUUUAUCAGAGAAUCAUUUCAGUCUGUGAGCAGCUGACCGCAGAAUAAUCCUGCCUCCUCUUAGCAUGUUCAUGCUCUGAGACCUGAUAAUGUUAAUCUGUGUGGCUGAUCUGUGCAGAGUCAGUUUGAAUAUCUGCUGUGUCUCCACCCUCAGUAACCCUGAGAGAGUUGUUUAUCACCAUCUCUCUGUCGGCACCAUUUUGUUCCCUGCUUGUUGCCUCAGGAUGCUGGCUGUAUGCCAAGAUACACAGAGUGAAGAAACGAAACUUUACUGUGAUAAUUAAAUUCCCUGGAAUGAUUCACAGAAAACAAAGUGAACUGAUGAAGUUCAGGGGAAAUUUCUGUAGAUGUUACAGUGUAGUUUAAAUGUGAAUGUAAAACAGUGAGUGCAGAGAGAGAAAACUCUGACAACACGUCUGACUUCCUGAUGCUCUGUGGUUUAUUUCAGACUCUAACACUCAGCACUGAUGUUUCCUGUUUCAGCUGCACUAACAUGAAGUCUGCACAAUCUAUAACCUUAGCUUUGUGUUGUACUGAACAAUACAUAGACUGUAGAAAAAAGACUACAUCAACCAGGACUGAAGUGUUAGGGAAUAUAACUUUAGGCUGGACUGAUGUUAGCAGCUGAUGAUAGAAAUGACCUUGUAAGGUUAACUGAAGGCAGACUGUGUCUCUUCCUGUAAGCAGACUCAUUACUGAGAGUUGAAGCAGAAGUAGGCGGUCCCUGUUACAACAAGCAGCGGAGGAAACACAUGAACUGAACUGAGACAAAAAGCAGCUCGAACAUUUUCAAACUAACCAGAGUAAGAACCCUGAGCAGACUGAUCACUCACUGUGACUUCAU